UACGUAGGUGGCGAGCGUUGUCCGGAAUUACUGGGUGUAAAGGGUGCGUAGGCGGGCUAUCAAGUCAGAUGUGAAAUACCGAGGCUCAACUUCGGGGCUGCAUUUGAAACUGAUAGUCUUGAGUGAGGUAGAGGCAAGCGGAAUUCCCAGUGUAGCGGUGAAAUGCGUAGAUAUUGGGAGGAACACCAGUGGCGAAGGCGGCUUGCUGGGCCUUAACUGACGCUGAGGCACGAAAGCAUGGGGAGCAAACAGGAUUAGAUACCCUGGUAGUCCAUGCCGUAAACGAUGGAUACUAGGUGUGGGAGGUAUUGACCCCUUCCGUGCCGGAGUUAACACAAUAAGUAUCCCACCUGGGGAGUACGGCCGCAAGGUUGAA
rnacentral:rRNA from 1 species